rnacentral:rRNA from 1 species
AUACGUAGGGGGCAAGCGUUAUCCGGAUUUACUGGGUGUAAAGGGAGCGUAGGCGGCGAAGCAAGUCAGAUGUGAAAAUCCAGUGCUCAACAUUGGACGUGCAUUUGAAACUGUUUAGCUAGAGUACAGGAGAGGUAAGAGGAAUUCCUAGUGUAGCGGUGAAAUGCGUAGAUAUUAGGAGGAACACCAGUGGCGAAGGCGUCUUACUGGACGGAUACUGACGCUGAGGCUCGAAAGCGUGGGGAGCAAACAGGAUUAGAUACCCUGGUAGUCCACGCUGUAAACGAUGAAUACUAGGUGUCGGGGAGCGACAAGCUGUUCGGUGCCGCAGCAAACGCAAUAAGUAUUCCACCUGGGGAGUACGUUCGCAAGAAUGAAACUCAAAUGAAUUGACGGGG